UAAACACCGGUUCCUGUACGAUCACCGAAGUUAAGCAACGUCGAACCUGGUCAGUAGUUUGAUGGGUGAUCGCUUUGGGCUACCAGUUGCUGUAAG